CCUACGGGUGGCAGCAGUGAGGAAUAUUGGUCAAUGGACGAGAGUCUGAACCAGCCAAGUAGCGUGAAGGAUGACUGCCCUAUGGGUUGUAAACUUCUUUUAUAUGGGAAUAAAACGUUCCACGUGUGGGAUUUUGUAUGUACCAUAUGAAUAAGGAUCGGCUAACUCCGUGCCAGCAGCCGCGGUAAUACGGAGGAUCCGAGCGUUAUCCGGAUUUAUUGGGUUUAAAGGGAGCGUAGGUGGAUUGUUAAGUCAGUUGUGAAAGUUUGCGGCUCAACCGUAAAAUUGCAGUUGAAACUGGCAGUCUUGAGUACAGUAGAGGUGGGCGGAAUUCGUGGUGUAGCGGUGAAAUGCUUAGAUAUCACGAAGAACUCCUAUUGCGAAGGCAGUUCACUGGACUGCAACUGACACUGAGGCUCGAAAGUGUGGGUAUCAAACAGGAUUAGAUACCCUAGUAGUC
rnacentral:rRNA from 1 species